CCGGUGUAUUCGAUUUUUUUCGUCAACACUGUUCAUUCAAAAAGAGAGAGAGAGCUUUAUUUCUACGUACGGACUGAAGCUGCCUCCAAGUCAAGUCGUUGCAUGUGUUCCUUGGAUCUGAUUUGGAUCAUGGCCAUCUUUAAAAGAAAAUAUAUCAACUUUUCACUUUCCAGAGGAUAUCCAUUAGUGCUUUGAAUAGAUGAGCAACAAAUUGGUCCAUGACAUGCACGCACUCAUCAAUGACACUAGUUGGUGCGAGCAGCAGGGUCAUGAAUCUGGUAGUGCAAUGUUGGCUACAAUGGAGGCAACAGUUGGUGCAUUGGGGUCCUCUUGUGGAGACCAUAGUACUGAACUGGUUUCAGAUGAUUGGGUACGUACAGCAGCAGUGGUUCAGUGUAGGAUAGAAGCAUAUGCAGAGGCAUUUACUUCAAGCUCCAGCAUCUGUCAACACAAGAAACACACCGAAACAUCAGAUGGAGAGCCACAUCAAGUGAGAUUUCUUAGGAUGCUUCGUGUGUCCUUCCUUAUCUGAUCAUUAGGGGUUGGUUGAGGAAGACUUGACUAGCAUUACAAGCAACUUGCAUAUGGUUGCACUUCUGUAAAGAGUUGUUCCAAGAACUACACUGAAGAGUUCUUUGCUAUACCUCGCUGUGUUUUCUUGUCAAUUACAAUUGCAAAGCAAUCCAUAAAAAAAGACCAAUCCUGCAAGGGAAAGGAGUGAGGUUGUGAGCUGUUUGAUCAAUGAUCAUGCAAGUGAUGCAACUGUAUACUGGUCCGUACCGUACUGUGGAUAAUAAAGAGAUCGACACGAGGACAGCAUGUAGCUUCCUAGCUUGCUUGUUAACUUCAAUGGCGUAGGAAGAGAUCGAUGGGUGAUAGGCUAGCCGCAGAUCUUUUCGCCCACAUCAAAUUUGAUUAGGGUUAGGAAGGUGUUGGUUGGUUGGCUUCGAUUUGAACAACUUCCUCGACAAAUUCUUAUCGCCAAUGUACCUUGUGGUCCAAUCCAUCUGCACUGCAGCAUCUCACAUGCAUCCUCCAGAAAAUGGCGUUCCUCUGUAAAUCUCACGGAGAAGCAGUUCGAUCCGACACGCAUGGCGGCGGAGGGGAUGGGAGGGGAGGGCGUCGAGGAAAGCUUGCCUGGUCAAGCUGGAGCGGAUGCGGAUCUCCUCCCCCUCCUCCGCCGCCUGACCGCCUCCUUCCCCAUGCAGACGGGUGGGCGCGGCUCAUCGCCAUUGCCGCUCUCUGCCUCGGCGUUGGCGGUGGCACCCGCCGCCGCCGCCGUAGUCGCCGUCGAUCUGGAGGCGACGAGGUCUGUGUCUGCUUCUGCUUCUGGUUUCUCUGCAAGCAGCCCACACGGUGUGGGCCUAGGCCCAUCCGAGUUAACAGCUCAUUUGUAAGGCCCAAAUACAGCUCAGAUCAGGCCCAGAGGCCGGAGCCCGCUUGUUGGGCCUGAAUGUCUAAAUGAGCCGUAUUGAAGUUGAGGUUUCUUUUCUGAUUUUUUUUUUCAAAAGGCAACUUGUCAUUUGGAUAUCUCAGCAUGGUCACUUAUCUGAAUACUCUGUGCAGAGAUUAAUUAGAAGGAUUUCUUUUUUUCCCCUAAGAGGAAGUUAAUCUCUGCAACUUUGUUACUGUAUAGUUAUGGUUGCUACCUA